GCAUUUAGAAACUUUUCAACCUUAAAUAUAUUUCUUUGAGGACAAAGUUACUAAAAUGUGAGCAUACGUUUAUAUUUAUAAACUAAGUAAAAUAGCAUUUGUUUAUCAUAAUGUUCAGUAGACAAUAACAAUUUCAAUUACUGUGUUUGCCCAUUGAUAGUAUUUGAAGUAUGGAUCAGUUAUCUAAAUAAUUUAUGAAAAAAUGUUGGUCUCUCAGAUUAUUAAAUGAAAUUGCACUUGGAUUACAGUGCAGCCAUUUAUACUUUUUGUCUUAUUUUGUUGUCUUUACAAUUGCAUGUUUUUUACAGAUCAGGAACUUCGUAUUUAUGAAUUUAAUAUCAGUAAAUUC
rnacentral:lncRNA from 1 species